rnacentral:rRNA from 1 species
AACCCGUCUUGGGAACACGGACCAAGGAGUCUAACAUGCGCGCGAGUCGUUGGGUCGGACACGCUCCGCUAAACCCAUAGGCGCAAUGAAAGUGAAGGUUACCCUCGCGGGACCGAGGGAGGACGGAGGCGCUCUUUNNNNNAUGGNNNNNNNUCGCCUCCCGCACUCCCGGGGCGUCUGAUUCCUCUUUUUGAGGGAAGGCGCACCCAGAGCGCACACGUUGGGACCCGAAAGUGGGGUGAACUAUU